GACACCGAGAAAAGUAGAUCAAGUGAUUUAGCCAGACAAAACAACUUCAACCUGCCUUAGCCACAAAUUUUACAGAGCCAAUACCUGGAGUCAGCCAUGGCUACUACCAGACCACUGUGCCCUCUUCCUUCACCAUUAAAGCAGACCAUUCCCUCUCUAACUCCACUGAUUUCCUGCAAACCCAUCUCAGAUUUCACCUCUUCUUUUCACGCAGCAUCACACUUGCGCCACCCAAGAGGACCAGUGACAGCCUCAGUUGCAUUCAAUCCAUCGGGAAAUUUUGACCUCUCUCUCUAUGAUGAUGAAGAUGACUCAUCAAAAGUUCCACCGCCAAUGCCACCAACAGAAGGGCGAUUUGAAGUAGUUCUUGACAAUGAUGUUAUUCGCCGCCUUGACUUAGCCCCUUUCCACGCUGCAACUGGAAUCACCUCAUCUCAAUCAGUUGAGCCAAAGUUGUUUCUUGAACGAACAAUUGGCUUCACCAUUAACUAUAGGAAGGAAGAUCCACAUGAUCCCCGGGAACUUUCAGAAUUUCCUGAUAUAAGGCUCUGGUUCGUUAGGCUAGACGCUGCUUAUCCAUGGCUGCCAGUUUUGUUGGACUGGCGAGCAGGGGAGCUUGCUCGGUAUGCAGCCAUGUUGGUGCCUCACCAGAUGAGCAUGAGAAUGGGGGUAGUCUUCAACCCUGAGGCGCUUGAAUUGUUCAUCAUGAAGAAAGUUUUCAUUGUCUACUCAUGGCUGAAGGAGCAUAACAUUCCAAAGCCGAGAUUGAAGGCAAGUGACAUGGCCAGAAUGCUUGGAUUUGGGAUUGGAGAUGAACUGUUUGACUUGAUUGAUCAGAACCAAAUUGCUGCAUCCUGAUUAAGAAGAAUCCUACAAACUCAGCAUUCAUCAUAUACUACAAGAAACAGAAAUCAGGCAAGAGUUUAAAGCCUCUUUAUGACUAACUCAGUGUCAGAAGAAUUCGCUCAAUGAAUUAGCAAAAGUUAAGUGAAGUAAUCAGUUAGAGUGCCACCAUGCCCCUUGUGGAUUAGCAUUUCAAAACCGAAGGACAUGAAGCUGGGCAGCUAUAUAUGCUUUGGGCAGCCAACAUGAGCAUGUGGGAAGUUGCUCAAUUUAGAAUGGUGAUUUCAAGCAAGUGAACUUGGGCUGUACUUGACAGGACCAAACAUUACUAGUGGUAACAGCCCAAAGGGCUCACAAAUCAAACCAACCCAGUGUCAACGGGUUGGGUUUGUUCCUUUUGGUAAAGUUUAUGGUUUUGAUCUGAUUCAAAAAUGAACUACUCUGGCUAGAUUGGUUCAUUAAUAUAACGAUUGUUGUAUAUUUUGGGUAUGUACUUCAAAAGUUGGCUCAAUGAUGUACGAA